CAAUAGCGUAUAUUAAAGUUGUUGCAGUUAAAAAGCUCGUAGUUGAAUUUCUGUCAGGAGUGACCGGGCCUUUGGAUGAACUUCCAUUGUUUUUUGCUCUGUUUGUCAUCUCUAGACAUCCUAAAUUACAUUUCUUGUAAUUUUCUUUUACUGUUAGCAAAAUAGAGUGUUCCAAGCAAAGCGUAGUUUUGAAUACAUUAGAAUGGAAUAAUAAGAUAGGACUUUGGUGCUAUUUUGUUGGUUUGCACACCAAGGUAAUGAUUAAUAGGGACAGUUGGGGGUAUUCGUAUUUAAUUGUCAGAGGUGAAAUUCUUGGAUUUAUGAAAGACGAACUACUGCGAAAGCAUUUACCAAGGAUGUUUUCAUUA
rnacentral:rRNA from 1 species